UACGAGGGGGGCAAAUGUUGUUCGGAAUCACUGGGCGUAAAGGGUGCGUAGGCGGGUCUUUAAGUCAGGGGUGAAAUCCGUGGAGCUCAACUCCAGAACUGCCUUUGAUACUGAAGAUCUUGAGUUCGGGAGAUGGGUGAGUGGAACUGGCGAGUGUAGAGGUGAAAUUCGUAGAUAUUCGCAAGAACACCAGUGGCGAAGGCGGCUCACUGGCCCGGUACUGACGCUGAGGUGCGAAAGCGUGGGGAGCAAACAGG
rnacentral:rRNA from 1 species